AUGGAUAAGGUUGCCCCAAUCUUCUUCUCGUGCGGUUCCUGAGGGGAAAAUUACCGCCGUCGGCGGCGGACACGAGGGCUCGCCGGGCCAGGGAGAGGAUACAGGCGCCACCAAACCUUGUACGCGAGGACGCCGCCGUUGCUCGGACUUGAGCGCGGGCCACCUCCACCACGUGAUGCGGCUGCGCUGUGGAGAGCUGGGCCGAGGGCCGCUCGGAGGAGCGGCGUGUCGUGGCUGUGGUGUCUGCCGCGCCCGGAGGACUGAUGCUUCUGCGAGCGUCCUCGACGAGGUUGUUGCCGCUACAGUGAUGGCGAGACGGCGAGACGGCGAGCAGCAGUGGCCGCUAGUUCCAGUUCAAGAAAUUAGAAAAAGACAUGGUACCUUCUUCUUCCCUUUGCAUGACUGGAUGAUACGUUCUUGAUUGAAGCUUUCUCUUCCUGAUCAAGGAUUUCUUCCGGUUGAUGCUUCAGCCACCUAUUCAUCUCGCCAUGCUCACAUGCUCGGAUGAAGCGAUGCACUAUGUGGUGCAGAAAAUGCAGCGUUCGUGCCGAGAGGAGCCAGGCCGAGGGGAGCGUCGUUGCGCCGAUGCGCCGCUGGAGCCUGGAGGGCUGUCGAGGCCGAGGGUCCUUGUUUCCCUGGCGCCGGAGGGAGUCGCCGCCACAGCCGUGUAUCAGGCCGAUGGCCAGGGACGCUGAUGCCGUCGAGUUCUUGGCCUAUUUGCUCUCUGGAAGAGGCGUGCUGAUAACGUGUUAAAGUAAAGCGAGAGAGGGAGGGAGGAGCGAAUGAUGGGAAUGAACAGUUAUUCUAUUGAUUGAAGAUUGGGGUAUUUAUACCCAGUUUACAAGGCGGUUACAAAAGGAGGCAGUUGCCAAAAGUGGCACCGA